rnacentral:misc_RNA from 1 species
GAAACGCGAUAGUUAAUGUGAAUUGCAGAAUUCAGUGAAUCAUCGAGUCUUUGAACGCACAUUGCGCCUUCCGGUAUUCCGGGAGGCACGUCUGUUUGAGCGUCAGCUAAACCCUUCCGCCCCCCGGCUUUGUCUGGGGGUUGCGGGCUUGCUGGCGCAGGGGACUGAGGCCGCCGCGCUCCGGCGCGGGUCAGGUCCUCCCCCGCUUAAACCUGUGGAAGCUAGCGGGCAUGGUCCCGGAAUUGCGAACGACUCGUAUAACCUACCGUCGUUAUCAGCGUCCGACCUGCCCCGCCUCCAUCAAAUUUUGGAAGAGGGAAUUUUCCCCCGACCAUUUUUUAAUCUUGACCUCAAAUCAGACGAGGAUACCCGCUGAACUUAA